GAUGAACGCUGGCGGCGUGCCUAAUACAUGCAAGUCGAGCGAACGGACGAGAAGCUUGCUCCUCUGAUGUUAGCGGCGGACGGGUGAGUAACACGUGGAUAACCUACUUAUAUGACUGGGAUAACCUCGGGACACCGUAGCUAAUACCGGCUAAUUUUUUGAACCUUAUGGUUCAAAAGUGAAAGAUGGUCUUGCUGUCACUUAUAGAUGGAUCCGCGCUGCAUUAGCUAGUUGGUUAGGUAACGGCUUACCAAGGCAACGAUGCCUAGCCGACCUAAGAGGAUGAUCGGCCACACUAGAACUGGGACACAUUCCAGUCACCUAAGGGAGACUGCAGUAGGGAGUCGUCCGCAAUGGGCGGAAGCCUGCCGGAGCCACGCCCCGUGACUGAUGAAGGUCUUCGGAUCGUAAAACUCUGUUUUUAAGGAAGAACAUAUAUGUAAGUAUCUGCGCACAGCUAGACGGUGCCUAAUCAGAAAGCCACGGCUAACUCCCUG
rnacentral:rRNA from 1 species